rnacentral:rRNA from 1 species
GGGCCCGCACAAGCAGUGGAGUAUGUUGUUUAAUUCGACGCAACGCGAAGAACCUUACCAGGGUUUGACAUCCUCGGAAUCUUGUUGAGAGACAGGAGUGCCCUUCGGGGAGCCGAGAGACAGGUGGUGCAUGGUUGUCGUCAGCUCGUGUCGUGAGAUGUUGGGUUAAGUCCCGCAACGAGCGCAACCCUUAUUGUUAGUUGCUACGCAAGAGCACUCUAGCGAGACUGCCGUUGACAAAACGGAGGAAGGUGGGGACGACGUCAAAUCAUCAUGCCCUUUAUAUCCUGGGCUACAAACGUACUACAAUGGUGGCCAUACAAAGCGAGGCAAGCCCGCGAGGGGGAGCGAACCGCUAAAAGCCAUCUCAGUUCGGAUUGCAGGCUGCAACUCGCCUGCAUGAAGUCGGAAUUGCUAGUAAUCGCGGAUCAGCAUGCCGCGGUGAAUACGUUCCCGGGCCUU